rnacentral:misc_RNA from 1 species
AUGUCAGCAGUUGCAGGGUCAUAUGGGUAUAUUGCUCCUGAGUAUGCAUACACAAUGAAAGUAACAGAAAAAUGUGAUAUCUAUAGCUAUGGAGUUGUUCUGUUGGAGUUGUUGACUGGGAAAAUUCCUGUGCAGCCACUAGAUCAAGGAGGUGAUCUUGUGACAUGGGUGAGAAAUUAUGUCCGCAGCCAUUCAUUGUCAUCUGGGAUACUUGACAGUAGAUUAGACCUCAAAGAUCAAAGUACUGUUGAUCACAUGAUUUGUGUACUGAAAAUUGCUUUGAUGUGUACAAGCAUGUCACCAUUUGAUCGUCCGUCAAUGCGUGAAGUUGUAUUGAUGCUUAUCGAGUCUAAUGCGCGAGAAGGGAACUUCAUUCUGUCUACAAUUUAUGAUCUUCCACUGAAAGAUGAUGCUUCAUGAAAGUAAGCUAUCAUCUCCCAGUUUCUGUUAAAGGACAGCAAAUGAUGGUACCUUGUACAUUUUUUAUAAGCAAAUAGAAUCACUGGAUAUUUCUGUUGCUCAUAGGGGCUUAAUAUCAUUGUUGCUCUCACAUUCUGUAUUUCAUCUUGCAAUUGCUACAGUAUAGUAACACUUGUGUACAGAUGGACGUACCAUUAUAUCUACAUGGAUCUCAAAGAUCCAGAUGUUACCAUUACUCAACAGAUGCUAGUUGAUGUGCUGUUUUCAGUUAGCCAGAGACUUAUAAAUCUGGAUAAUAGGUACUCUUUAUUUGCAAUUUUAAUAGAUGAAGUUAAAAUGAUCUUUCUAUUAGAUUUAUAUGUUAUACUACUGAAUGAA